rnacentral:rRNA from 1 species
AUGGAUUCUCUAGAACAACUCAGAAAAUUUCAGGACAUAGUUUGCACAAGGUACCUCACAGACAACGCGACCCUGCAGACGCUAGAGCAAGCAGUUCCAGCAGCAUCAAGUAGACUAGUCGAUGCCAACCGCACGAAUGAAAUAGUAGCCACAACAGAACAAAGAGAAAGGAGAAAAGGUAAGAAAGAAGAAGAGGACGAAGAGGGGAAGAGAAGAACAAAAUCAAGGGACGAUGAACCCCAACAGCAGGAUGGCGUCAACAACCCCAAAAACAAGAAUGAACGCAACAAACAAAGCAACCUCACAACAGACAGUGCUACAACAACAACUACUCCAACACAAGCACAAGAUAUGAUCGACGUCAAAACCAGUGAAGAGGCUCAGCUGGAGAACAAUCAAGUCAGCAGUCCCGUCAACCAAAUGCAAGAGGCUGACCCACAAUCAACCGUUAGCAUAACAAACGACAAAGAAGAAGAAAACAACGAAGAGGAGGUAUCACAAUCACUGCAAGACCAAGAGACAACCAGUGUUGAAAUUGAACCCCAUAGUGAACCUCAAACAGACGAAGGAGUCACAGAACAGGAAGUUUGUGCACAAGAGAUUUCCAGUGCCACGACAUUGAAGAUAAUCAUCACGAGUACAAAGGAGAAAACCCAAGACAUCCAAGCCGAUGAGAAACUAUAG